rnacentral:rRNA from 1 species
UACGUAGGAGGCAAGCGUUGUCCGGAAUUACUGGGCGUAAAGCGCGUGUAGGUGGUGGGACAAGUCUGCUGUGAAAGCGCCUGGCUUAACCGGGCGAGGUCGGCGGAAACUGUCCGACUCGAGGACGGUAGAGGGGGGUGGAAUUCCCGGUGUAGUGGUGAAAUGCGUAGAGAUCGGGAGGAACACCUGUGGCGAAGGCGGCCCCCCUGGGCCGGCCCUGACACUGAGACGCGAAGGCGUGGGGAGCGAACGGG